UUGGGUUCACUUCAGUUUAGUUAAGAUUAAAAAUGGUGCUAAUACGAUAUGUGCAUUGUUAGUAAAUAUGAAUCCUAUAAUAAUUGGUUCCCCUCGCUAUCCAGUGUUGAUUAUUUUGUGCUACAUUUGGACGUUGGGUAACUACAUGG
rfam:Spinacia oleracea cultivar SynViroflay scaffold3952.con0013.1, whole genome shotgun sequence.